rnacentral:rRNA from 1 species
AACGAACGCUGGCGGCAUGCCUAACACAUGCAAGUCGAACGGGAUCCUAGCUUGCUAGGUGAGAGUGGCGGACGGGUGAGUAACACGUGGGAAUCUGCCUUUUGGUUCGGGAUAACCGCGGGAAACUGCGGCUAAUACCGAAUGCCCUGAGAGAGGAAAGAUUUAUCGCCAGAAGAGGAGCCCGCGUCCGAUUAGGUAGUUGGUGGGGUAAAGCCUACCAAGCCGACGAUCGGUAGCUGGUCUGAGAGGAUGAUCAGCCACACUGGGACUGAGAUACGGCCCAGACUCCUACGGGAGCAGCAGUGGGGAAUAUUGGACAAUGGGGCAACCCUGAUCCAGCAAUGCCGCGUGAGUGAUGAA